rnacentral:rRNA from 1 species
CCUACGGGAGGCAGCAGUGAGGAAUAUUGGUCAAUGGACGGAAGUCUGAACCAGCCAUGCCGCGUGCAGGAAGACGGCUCUAUGAGUUGUAAACUGCUUUUGUACAAGGGUAAACCUGAAUACGUGUGUUCAGCUGAAAGUACUGUACGAAUAAGGAUCGGCUAACUCCGUGCCAGCAGCCGCGGUAAUACGGAGGAUCCGAGCGUUAUCCGGAUUUAUUGGGUUUAAAGGGUGCGUAGGCGGAUUGUUAAGUUAGAGGUGAAAUGUUCGGGCUUAACCCGGGAACUGCCGUUAAAACUGUUGAACUAGAGAGUAGAUGCGGUAGGCGGAAUGUAUGGUGUAGCGGUGAAAUGCUUAGAGAUCAUACAGAACACCGAUUGCGAAGGCAGCUUACCAAGCCAUAUCUGACGUUGAGGCACGAAAGCGUGGGGAUCAAACAGGAUUAGAUACCCCAGUAGUC